UCCCUGAUGGUCCAGUGGUUAAGACUCUGUGCUUUCGAUGCAAGGGGCACAGGUUUGAUCCCUGGUCAGGGAA
rnacentral:tRNA from 1 species